rnacentral:rRNA from 1 species
UACGUAGGGGGCAAGCGUUGUCCGGAAUUAUUGGGCGUAAAGAGCUCGUAGGCGGUCCAUUAAGUCGGAAGUGAAAUCUCAGGGCUCAACCCUGAAAUUGCUUUCGAUACUGGUGGACUUGAGGCAGGUAGGGGAAGGUGGAAUUCUUGGUGUAGCGGUGAAAUGCGCAGAUAUCAGGAGGAACACCAGUGGCGAAGGCGGCCUUCUGGGCCUGUUCUGACGCUGAGGAGCGAAAGCGUGGGGAGCAAACAGG